GAUGAACGCUGGCGGCGUGCCUAAUACAUGCAAGUCGAGCGAACGGACGAGAAGCUUGCUUCUCUGAUGUUAGCGGCGGACGGGUGAGUAACACGUGGAUAACCUACCUAUAAGACUGGGAUAACUUCGGGAAACCGUAGCUAAUACCGGAUAAUAUUUUGAACCGCAUGGUUCAAAAGUGAAAGACGGUCUUGCUGUCACUUAUAGAUGGAUCCGCGCUGCAUUAGCUAGUUGGUAAGGUAACGGCUUACCAAGGCAACGAUGCAUAGCCGACCUGAGAGGGUGAUCGGCCACACUGGAACUGAGACACGGUCCAGACUCCUACGGGAGGCAGCAGUAGGGAAUCUUCGGCAAUGGGCGAAAGCCUGACGGAGCAACGCCGCGUGAGUGAUGAAGGUCUUCGGAUCGUAAAACUCUGUUAUUAGGGAAGAACAUAUGUGUAAGUAACUGUGCACAUCUUGACGGUACCUAAUCAGAAAGCCACGGCUAACUACGUG
rnacentral:rRNA from 1 species